AACGAACGCUGGCGGCAGGCUUAACACAUGCAAGUCAAACGGGGUAGCAAUACCUAGUGGCGCACGGGUGAGUAACGCGUGGGAAUUUCCCUCUCAGUACGGAAUAACCUCGGGAAACUGUGGCUAAUACCGUAUGGUCCCUUCGGGGUAAAGAUUUAUCGCUGAGAGAUGAGCCCGCGUCAGAUUAGCUAGUUGGUGGGGUAACGGCCUACCAAGGCGACGAUCUGUAGCUGGUCUUAGAGGACGAUCAGCCACACUGGAACUGAGACACGGUCCAGACUCCUACGGGAGGCAGCAGUGGGGAAUAUUGGACAAUGGGGGAAACCCUGAUCCAGCCAUGCCGCGUGAGUGAUGAAGGCCUUCGGGUUGUAAAGCUCUUUAGGGUGGGACGAUGAUGACGGUACCACCAGAAUAAGCUCCGGCUAACUUCGUGCCAGCCGCCGCCGUAAUAC
rnacentral:rRNA from 1 species